rnacentral:rRNA from 1 species
AUGCGUAUGUUGACCAAGAUUAUGCAUAAGGAAGAGUUGGAAGAACGUGAAGU